rnacentral:lncRNA from 1 species
CGAUAGCCGAGAUGUCAGAAGCUCGAGAGGUCAGAGGCACCUGCCAAUAACCUUUUAGCAAAUCUUACUUACUAACAUAAGCAGCAGAGCCAAUUCUGUCAAUGCAGUCAUCUAAGCGAGGUAGAGGAAAAGAGUCAUACUUUAACUGCAUUUACGCGAUGAUAGUCCGUACAUAAGUGGGAAGUACCGUCAGCCUUAGGAACAGAGAAUACACAGGGAACUCCAGGAGCUGUUAAAUUAAAUCAAAGUUUGUCACGUGCGCCGAAUACUUACAGUGAAAUGCUUACUUACAGGCUCUAACCAAUAGUGCAAAAAAAGUAUUAGGUGAACAAUAGGAUAGUCAGACAGGAAAUGUCCAGAAGAAGGCUGAUGGGCUUUACCUCAGUGUGAAACAGAGGGAAUACUACCUCUACCGUUUGACAGACGGCAACAAGAGGAAGACAAGGCAGCCUUGACAACUGCCAUUGUUCAACUUGACGAGCAGCAGGCAGAGUUUUGGCUCCCCACAGAGGAUAAGCUGCUCAAUACUGACAACUUUGUGUGGCCAUGGGAGAGACUAGGCACCAGCAACAGCCAUCUUGCAAUCAAAAAGGCAAUCUUGGACAGACGGACGUUGCUGAACAGACUGCAGGAGGAAGAGAAGAUCCUGGUGCAGGAGAUGAAGAGGGACUGGGAGAGCCUACAAAGAGCAGUGGGAACUGGAAGCGCUGGGGGAGCCUACAAAGAGCAGUGGGAACUCUGGAGGCUUUGUCCCUGCAUCUGCAAGAUCAGAGCAAUGCAGUGGAGUUAUCAGAGAGAGGGAGGAAUGGCCUUUUCUGCCUCCUGAAGAGAAGAUUGAGUGAACCGACACAAGACCAAGACAACAGCAGGAAUACCUACCACAAGCUGAUUCUGGGAGAAGGGGCUAUUUUUGAUGACUCUGAUGAAGAUGAGAACUCAGAUGAAGAUGUAUGUCCUAUUGCUGAGAGCUCAGAUGAAGAUAGAAGUCCUAUUGCUGAGAGCUCAGAUGAAGAUAUAAGUCCUAUUGCUGAGAGCUUAGAUGACGACUGCUGUGUUUUCUGAAAUCAUACACCACCCCUGCCUCUCUCGCUCGCUCUCUCUCGCUCUCUCGCUCUCUCUCUCUCUCUCUCUCUCUCUCUUGCAGGAGAGAGAGAAGGCUGCCACCACCUCCCUCGGGAGCAGCCUAGUCUCCCGAUGUUGACCCCUGACCCCUCACCUUCUGAACCCUUCCAGGGAAAUGUAAUUUGACUGAUACGCUAGUGGAGAAGGAAUGUCUAAUUUCAGCGCAUUUGUUGCCAUGUUUCCUCUCCUCCGUUUCUUCUGGUCCUAUGGCGACUAUGGCGACAUCAGCAGCAACUCAGAAUGUUGGCUUAGGACUUCUUUACUGAGGAAUGUGGUUGUUGUUAAUGUUAUUUUGUUAUUAUAUAUAUUUUUUGUAUUUUCUAUGCUGCUCGGAUUGUGAUUUUGGUGUAAUUUUGAGUUGCAAAAUAGUCCUUGGUCUCAAUUGGACUGCUUAAAUAAAUAAAGUAAAAGUCUUAAUAAAUAAAUCAAUAACAGGUCUGUACAUAGUAUGAAUAAAUUAUUUUGAUGUAAUAAAAAGUGUAAUACAUUGCUGCCCCUUUCAGCAUUGUAAGUACAUCACCUAUCUGAAAUGUGACUUGCCAAAUCUAACAGUAGCCUAUCAAUCGUUUUUAUGUUUGACUUUAAAUCAGUUAACGGUGUAUCAAUGAAAAUCUGAUAUUGAGUGGAAUGUACUGCUGCC